AUAAGUUGGUGGCUGAAUUCUUCCCAAACUAAAAUUACUCGGAUCUCCAGUACACAAGAUUGCCAUAGCUAGAUUGCGAGCGAAGUUCAUCAUAAGUUGAGAGCGGGCACAUUCCCAAGUUUGGAUAUUCACAUGGAAUAGAGUUGUUGCUAGGGGCACUCAUGGAGGGACCAGUCCUGUUUCCAGCUAAACAUGGGACUGAACCAUACUCCAUACGUUUCUAGAAUUUUAAAAAACCAACCUGUCCGUGGAACUCUUAGAUCAGACCAAGCCGAACAAGCGAGUAACGGUUCUGUCCCAGUUUGAACCACGCUUCACUUAAAAUUAACGAUGCAUACAAGAAUUCGUAAAAAACAAA